UACGUAGGGGGCAAGCGUUAUCCGGAUUUACUGGGUUUAAAGGGUGCGUAGGUUGUUUUUUAAGUCAGCGGUAAAAUUUCGGGGCUCAACCCCGUCGUGCCGUUGAAACUGGCGUUCUUGAGUGAGCGAGAAGUAUGCGGAAUGCGUGGUGUAGCGGUGAAAUGCAUAGAUAUCACGCAGAACUCCGAUUGCGAAGGCAGCAUACCGGCGCUCAACUGACGCUCAUGCACGAAAGCGUGGGUAUCGAACAGG
rnacentral:rRNA from 1 species